rnacentral:rRNA from 1 species
GGCGUUAAGUUGCAGGGUAUAGACCCGAAACCCGGUGAUCUAGCCAUGGGCAGGUUGAAGGUUGGGUAACACUAACUGGAGGACCGAACCGACUAAUGUUGAAAAAUUAGCGGAUGACCUGUGGCUGGGGGUGAAAGGCCAAUCAAACCGGGAGAUAGCUGGUUCUCCCCGAAAGCUAUUUAGGUAGCGCCUCGUGAAUUCAUCUCCGGGGGUAGAGCACUGUUUCGGCUAGGGGGCCAUCCCGGCUUACCAACCCGAUGCAAACUGCGAAUACCGGAGAAUGUUAUCACGGGAGACACACGGCGGGUGCUAACGUCCGUCGUGAAGAGGGAAACAACCCAGACCGCCAGCUAAGGUCCCAAAGUCAUGGUUAAGUGGGAAACGAUGUGGGAAGGCCCAGACAGCCAGGAUGUUGGCUUAGAAGCAGCCAUCAUUUAAAGAAAGCGUAAUAGCUCACUGGUCGAGUCGGCCUGCGCGGAAGAUGUAACGGGGCUAAACCAUGCACCGAAGCUGCGGCAGCGACGCUUAUGCGUUGUUGGGUAGGGGAGCGUUCUGUAAGCCUGUGAAGGUGGCCUGUGAGGGUUGCUGGAGGUAUCAGAAGUGCGAAUGCUGACAUAAGUAACGAUAAAGCGGGUGAAAAGCCCGCUCGCCGGAAGACCAAGGGUUCCUGUCCAACGUUAAUCGGGGCAGGGUGAGUCGACCCCUAAGGCGAGGCCGAAAGGCGUAGUCGAUGGGAAACGGGUUAAUAUUCCCGUACUUGGUGUUACUGCGAAGGGGGGACGGAGAAGGCUAUGUUGGCCGGGCGACGGUUGUCCCGGUUUAAGCGUGUAGGUGUGUGUUCCAGGUAAAUCCGGUUCACUUUAACACUGAGGCGUGAUGACGAGGCACUACGGUGCUGAAGCAACAAAUGCCCUGCUUCCAGGAAAAGCCUCUAAGCAUCAGGUAACAUCAAAUCGUACCCCAAACCGACACAGGUGGUCAGGUAGAGAAUACCAAGGCGCUUGAGAGAACUCGGGUGAAGGAACUAGGCAAAAUGGUGCCGUAACUUCGGGAGAAGGCACGCUGACACGUAGGUGAAGUGAUUUACUCAUGGAGCUGAAGUCAGUCGAAGAUACCAGCUGGCUGCAACUGUUUAUUAAAAACACAGCACUGUGCAAACACGAAAGUGGACGUAUACGGUGUGACGCCUGCCCGGUGCCGGAAGGUUAAUUGAUGGGGUCAGCGCAAGCGAAGCUCCUGAUCGAAGCCCCGGUAAACGGCGGCCGUAACUAUAACGGUCCUAAGGUAGCGAAAUUCCUUGUCGGGUAAGUUCCGACCUGCACGAAUGGCGUAAUGAUGGCCAGGCUGUCUCCACCCGAGACUCAGUGAAAUUGAACUCGCUGUGAAGAUGCAGUGUACCCGCGGCAAGACGGAAAGACCCCGUGAACCUUUACUAUAGCUUGACACUGAACAUUGAGCCUUGAUGUGUAGGAUAGGUGGGAGGCUUUGAAGUGUGGACGCCAGUCUGCAUGGAGCCGACCUUGAAAUACCACCCUUUAAUGUUUGAUGUUCUAACGUGGACCCGUAAUCCGGGUUGCGGACAGUGUCUGGUGGGUAGUUUGACUGGGGCGGUCUCCUCCUAAAGAGUAACGGAGGAGCACGAAGGUUGGCUAAUCCUGGUCGGACAUCAGGAGGUUAGUGCAAUGGCAUAAGCCAGCUUGACUGCGAGCGUGACGGCGCGAGCAGGUGCGAAAGCAGGUCAUAGUGAUCCGGUGGUUCUGAAUGGAAGGGCCAUCGCUCAACGGAUAAAAGGUACUCCGGGGAUAACAGGCUGAUACCGCCCAAGAGUUCAUAUCGACGGCGGUGUUUGGCACCUCGAUGUCGGCUCAUCACAUCCUGGGGCUGAAGUAGGUCCCAAGGGUAUGGCUGUUCGCCAUUUAAAGUGGUACGCGAGCUGGGUUUAGAACGUCGUGAGACAGUUCGGUCCCUAUCUGCCGUGGGCGCUGGAGAACUGAGGGGGGCUGCUCCUAGUACGAGAGGACCGGAGUGGACGCAUCACUGGUGUUCGGGUUGUCAUGCCAAUGGCACUGCCCGGUAGCUAAAUGCGGAAGAGAUAAGUGCUGAAAGCAUCUAAGCACGAAACUUGCCCCGAGAUGAGUUCUCCCUGAGACUUAGAGUCUCCUGAAGGAACGUUGAAGACGACGACGUUGAUAGGCCGGGUGUGUAAGCGCAGCGAUGCGUUGAGCUAACCGGUACUAAUGAACCGUGAGGCUUAACCUUACAACGCCGAAG